UUUUUCAAAACAUGUCCUUUUGAUUAUUUAAUUUAAGGUCUGUCCUGCCCAAUGAUUUAUUAUUUAAUGGCCGCAGUAUUCUAACUGUGCGAAGGUAGCAUAAUCACUUGUUUUUUAAUUGGGAACUAGUAUGAAUGGUCUGAUGAGGGAUUAACUUUCUUUAUUAUAUAUUUAAAAACUUAAUUUAUGAGUCAAAAAGCUUAUAUUUAUUUAAGGGACGAGAAGACCCUAUAGAGCUUUAAUAAUAUUAUUAUAUCUCUUAUUUAUUUAAUUUAUAUUAGAUACAAUAGUAUUAUUUUUGUUGGGGUGACAGUUAAAUUAAAUAAACUUUAACUUAAUUUUAUUUCAUAAAUAUAUGAUUAGUAUUGAUCCAUUAUUAAUGAGUAUAAGACUAAGCUACCUUAGGGAUAACAGCGUAAUUUUACUGGAAAGUACAUAUUGAUAGUAGAGUUUGCGACCUCGAUGUUGGAUUAAAAUAUGUAUUGGGUGCAGAAGUUCAAUAACUGAGUCUGUUCGACUUAUAAUAUUUUACAUGAUCUAUUUUUC
rnacentral:rRNA from 1 species